GCAGGCGCAGUGGCUAGGCAGGCUGGAGAACGGGGUCCACGGGGAGUGGGCUGGGCUGAGAGGCCAGUGAAGCGAGUCCGCGGGCCGCAAGCGCCGGGGGUGGAGGCCCGGUUAAGCUAUUUCAGAUAAUACCAGGAUGUUUUUGCACGCCACACAGGCAUCCCUUGGGCUCCUACUCCAUGCUAGACUCUGCUGGCCACUGAGGAUAUAGUUAAAAAGAUGGAAUAAAAUAAUGCCUGCCGUCAAAGACCUCCUCGUGGGUUGAAGCUUCGGAGCCAUUCUCGUGAAACCAGUUCUACUCCUCCUAGAGUUUGGGUGUAAUAUACCUCGGGGCACAGCCUCCAGGUGAAUUGUGCCCCAACCCUAAUGACCCAGACAUGCAUACAUGAACAUGAUCCAAUAAAAACUUAC